rnacentral:sRNA from 1 species
ACUACGUCUACUUUGAGAACUCCUCCAGCAACCCAUACCUGAUCCGGAGGAUCGAGGAGCUCAACAAGACGGCCAAUGGGAACGUGGAGGCCAAAGUGGUGUGCUUCUACCGGAGGCGGGACAUCUCCAGCACCCUCAUCGCCCUGGCCGACAAGCACGCAAGGGAAAUAGAAGAGGAAAUGGAGAAUCCGGAAAUGGUGGACCUGCCUGAGAAACUAAAGCACCAGCUGCGGCAUCGGGAGCUGUUCCUCUCCCGGCAGCUGGAGUCUCUGCCCGCCACGCACAUCAGGUAGCCCCCAGCAGCUCCCGCCCUGGGCCCCUCGGGCUGCCCUCGCCUUUCCAGCCUGCCCGUCCUUCUCUUCCAGGGGCAAGUGCAGCGUCACCCUGCUCAACGAGACCGAGUCGCUCAAGUCCUACCUGGAGCGGGAGGAUUUCUUCUUCUAUUCUCUAGUCUACGACCCACAGCAGAAGACCCUGCUGGCAGAUAAAGGAGAGAUUCGAGUAGGAAACCGGUACCAGGCAGACAUCACCGACUUGUUAAAAGAAGGCGAGGAGGAUGGCCGAGACCAGUCCAAGCUGGAGACCAAGGUGUGGGAGGCGCACAACCCACUCACAGACAAGCAGAUUGACCAGUUCCUGGUGGUGGCCCGCUCUGUGGGCACCUUCGCACGGGCCCUGGACUGCAGCAGCUCCGUCCGGCAGCCCAGCCUGCACAUGAGCGCCGCAGCUGCCUCCCGAGACAUCACCCUGUUCCACGCCAUGGAUACUCUCCACAAGAACAUCUACGACAUCUCCAAGGCCAUCUCGGCGCUGGUGCCGCAGGGCGGACCCGUGCUCUGCAGGGACGAGAUGGAGGAGUGGUCUGCAUCAGAGGCCAACCUUUUCGAGGAAGCCCUGGAAAAAUAUGGGAAGGAUUUCACAGACAUUCAGCAAGAUUUUCUCCCGUGGAAGUCGCUGACCAGCAUCAUUGAGUACUACUACAUGUGG